AAAUGGAUGAAACACUUGCGUCA
rnacentral:snRNA from 1 species